GGGCUAAUGGUCUAGUGGUAUGAUUUUCGCUUCGCAUUGUUAAGAUGCCGCCUGUGAAAGGUCCCCGGUUCAAUCCCGGGUUAGUCCA